UUGAAUGUAAGCAAAGCUUACUCUGUAGUUGUACACAGAACUACUCUAAGGUUUGUCUCAUGAUACCUAUACUCCUUUUGGUAUGAUUCGCUACUUAAAAAUGUUAAAAAUGACAGAAAGUUGGUCUUCCACCAACAUUAUAUUCCAAAAGAUGGAGUUACUCUUUUCCUUUAAUUUCCUCACAUAUAGUUAGCUAACCUCAUUAGAGGUUUAUUGUGCUUAGACUUGAUUCUAUUGCCUCGCUCUAUAUUCUGCCUUGUAGAAUCAGUUGAGUCUGAACUGAUUGUUUGCAAUUUGGCGCUCCUCUUUCUUGUGCCGUACUUUGGUCUCUGAAUCUGUCAAAUAUUACCACAAGUGUUCUUAUAUAUUAUAUUCUGUGUCAGUCAUUGGAGAUGUCAGAGGCCGAGGCUUAAUGGUGGGGAUAGAGCUUGUCACUGACAGGAAAGAGAAGAAGCCUGCGAAGGCAGAAACCAUAGUUUUGUUCGAGAAACUCAGAGAGCUCGGAGUUCUAGUUGGCAAAGGGGGACUACAUGGAAAUGUUUUUAGGAUAAAGCCACCGAUGUGUUUUACCAAAGAUGAUGCAGAUUUUCUUGUCGAUGCUUUGGACUACUCCAUGUCAAAGUUGUGAGGGCUAAUACAUGAAGAACCAAAUGAUAUUGUGGUUUGUAAAGAUCUUUCAAUAAUGUAAAGUUAAAUUCCUAGAGUUUGUGCUCAUUUAACAUGAGAAAUAGCAGCUUGCUCAUAUCCCUGAAGGUGUCUAGCAACCGUUGGAUGAAAUCGAUCCAUGUACGAUGAGUGAGGACGCCAAUCUAUGCACCAAAAUGGAUUCCGCUAGCUUAUAAUUAGAGGCCAUUAAGAAAGCGAGAUAAACAUUUUUCUCCUUUUGUUUGGUUUAUCAAGUUCAUAUUUGCAAUUCAAGUA